rnacentral:rRNA from 1 species
GUGAUCCUACGGGGGGCAGCAGUGAGGAAUAUUGGUCAAUGGGCGAGAGCCUGAACCAGCCAAGUCGCGUGAAGGAUGACGGCCAUACGGGUUGUAAACUUCUUUUGUCAGGGAGCAAUUGAGUCCACGUGUGGUCUUAGCGAGAGUAACUGAAGAAAAAGCAUCGGCUAACUCCGUGCCAGCAGCCGCGGUAAUACGGAGGAUGCGAGCGUUAUCCGGAUUUAUUGGGUUUAAAGGGUGCGUAGGCGGAAUAUCAAGUCAGCGGUGAAAAUUCGGGGCUCAACCCCGUCGUGCCGUUGAAACUG